UUCGGGGGGAGCAAGCGUUGUUCGGAUUUACUGGGCGUAAAGGGCGCGUAGGUGGUAGCACAAGUCAGUUGUGAAAUCUCCGGGCUUAACUCGGAAAGGUCAACUGAUACUGUGCGACUAGAGUGCAGAAGGGGCAACUGGAAUUCUCGGUGUAGCGGUGAAAUGCGUAGAUAUCAAGAGGAACACCUGCGGCGAAGGCGGGUUGCUGGGCUGACACUGACGCUGAGGCGCGAAAGCUAGGGGAGCGAACGGG
rnacentral:rRNA from 1 species